rnacentral:rRNA from 1 species
AGAGUUUGAUCCUGGCUCAGGACGAACGCUGGCGGCGUGCCUAACACAUGCAAGUCGAACGGGGGAUGCGAGAAAGCUUGCUUUUUUGCAAACCUAGUGGCGCACGGGUGAGUAACACGUAGGAAACCUGCCCUCAAGCGGGGGACAACAUCGGGAAACCGGUGCUAAUACCGCAUAAGACCACGGUCUGAGAUGACAGUGGUAAAAGGAUUUAUCCACUUGGGGAUGGGCCUGCGGCCUAUCAGGUAGUUGGUGGGGUAAAGGCCUACCAAGCCGAAGACGGGUAGCCGGUCUGAGAGGAUGAACGGCCACACUGGAACUGAGACACGGUCCAGACUCCUACGGGAGGCAGCAGUGGGGAAUUUUGCGCAAUGGGGGAAACCCUGACGCAGCGACGCCGCGUGGAGGACGAAGGCCUUCGGGUUGUAAACUCCUUUUCUGGGGGAAGAUAGUGACGGUACCCC